CCUCUACAUUCAGAGAUCAUUAAUAGAGUCCAGAACACCAUUUUAAUUAUAUAUGCUGUAUAGCAUAGGAAAUCAGGUUUUAGGACUAUGAAUGUAGUACCUGGCCAUUUGAAAACCCAGUUGAAUGCUCGUGAUAAAGAAGUUUAGGUCUUGGUAUUUAGCAGCAGUAAUGGUGAAUGAGACUUGUUUACCAGUGCUGAUGGCUCUGUGCGGGUAUUUGAUCAAAGACACUUGGAGCAUUCAACAGUUUACAAAGAUGGAUGUGUCACCCACUGAUGAGAUUAGCCUGGAACAAGCUAGAUACCAAUUACUAAACUACUUGUGCUAUGGAUGUAUGUCAGGUGGUGUAUGUCUUUGAACAACUUGAAACUUUG